UAUUUAUAAAAAUAAUUUAAGUAUUUUUAGUUUUAGUAUUUAGUAAAAAUUAAUUUAUUAAUUUAUAGUUUAUUAGUAUUGUGAAAGAAAUUAUUUAAUUUUUUAAAAGAAUAGUUUUAGUACCUUUUGUAUCAGGGUUGAUUAAAAUAAUUUAUUUAUUUUAAAGUUCUCAAAGUUUAUAGAGUUAAAUUUUAUUAUAUAAUUUAUUGUGAUAUAAUUAUUUAUAAAAUAAAUUUAGAUGUAAAAUGUAAUUCGUUAUAAAAUAUUUAGUUAUUUAAGAAUUAAAUUUAAUUUAUAAAUUUAAAAGUUUAGGUUAUUUAUUUAAUUUAUAUUUUAUUUUUAGAUUAUUUUAGGGAUAAGCUUAAAAUUUUUAUAUAAUUAUAUUUUUAUUAAUAAUUUAUAGGAAUAGAAAUUUUUAGUUAAGUUUGUAAAAAUUUAUUAUUUUUUUUUUAUAUUUAUUAUAAAUUUAAAUUUAUAUAUAAUAUUAAAUUUUAUUAAUUAGUUAUUUAUUAAUAGUAAUAAUGAUUAAAUUAGUAUAAUUUUUAAUUAUAAAUUAUGAAUUCGGCAAUUUUUAUUUUCAUCUGUUUAACAAAAACAUUGUAUUAAGUUUAAUUUAAUAUAGGAUCUGCUCAAUGAUUAUUUAAAUAGCUGCAGUAUUUUAACUGUGCAAAGGUAGCAUAAUAAAUAGUCUUUUAAUUGAAGUCUUGAAUGAAAGGUUUAAUGAAAAAUAAACUUUAUUAUUUAUAAAAUUAAAAUUUUAUUUUUAAGUAAAAAGGCUUAAAUUGUUUAAAGGGACGAUAAGACCCUAUAAAACUUUAUAAUUAUUUAUUUUUAAGUUUUUGGUGAUAACAUUAAUUAUAUAUAAUAUUAUAUAUAUUUAUUAUUUAAAAUAUAUUUUUGAUUUAAAUAAUUAUUUUAUUGGGGUGAUAAAAAAAUUUAAACUUUUUUUAAAAUUUACAUUAAUUAAUGAUAAUUUGAAUUAGAAAUUUUAAUUAAAGGAAAAAGUUACUUUAGGGAUAACAGCGUAAUUAAUUUUUUAAGUUCAAAUUUAAAAAUUAGUUUGCGACCUCGAUGUUGAAUUAAGAUUAAUUUUAGGUGCAAAAUUUUAAUAAUUAGGUCUGUUCGACCUUUAAAAUCUUACAUGAUUUGAGUUCAAACC
rnacentral:rRNA from 1 species